rnacentral:rRNA from 1 species
GAUGAACGCUGGCGGCGUGCCUAAUACAUGCAAGUCGAGCGAACAGAUGAGGAGCUUGCUCCUCUGACGUUAGCGGCGGACGGGUGAGUAACACGUGGAUAACCUACCUAUAAGACUGGGAUAACUUCGGGAAACCGGAGCUAAUACUGGAUAAUAUAUUGAACCGCAUGGUUCAAUAGUGAAAGACGGUUUUGCUGUCACUUAUAGAUGGAUCCGCGCCGCAUUAGCUAGUUGGUAAGGUAACGGCUUACCAAGGCAACGAUGCGUAGCCGACCUGAGAGGGUGAUCGGCCACACUGGAACUGAGACACGGUCCAGACUCCUACGGGAGGCAGCAGUAGGGAAUCUUCCGCAAUGGGCGAAAGCCUGACGGAGCAACGCCGCGUGAGUGAUGAAGGUCUUCGGAUCGUAAAACUCUGUUAUUAGGGAAGAACAAAUGCGUAAGUAACUAUGCACGUCUUGACGGUACCUAAUCAGAAAGCCACGGCUAACUACGUG